rnacentral:rRNA from 1 species
UACGUAGGGAGCAAGCGUUGUCCGGAAUCAUUGGGCGUAAAGCGCGCGUAGGUGGCCCCAUAAGUCCGCUGUGAAAGUCAAAGGCUCAACCUUUGAAAGCCGGUGGAUACUGUGGGACUAGAGUACGGAAGAGGCGAGUGGAAUUCCUGGUGUAGCGGUGGAAUGCGCAGAUAUCAGGAGGAACACCAAUAGCGAAGGCAGCUCGCUGGGACGUUACUGACACUGUGGCGCGAAAGCGUGGGGAGCGAACAGG